AUUGAACGCUGGCGGAAUGCUUUACACAUGCAAGUCGAACGGUAGAGGGGGCAACCCCUCGAGAGUGGCGAACGGGUGAGUAAUAUAUCGGAACGUGCCCAGUCGUGGGGGAUAACGUAGCGAAAGUUACGCUAAUACCGCAUACGAUCUACGGAUGAAAGCGGGGGACUCGCAAGAGCCUCGCGCGAUUGGAGCGGCCGAUAUCAGAUUAGGUAGUUGGUGGGGUAAAGGCUCACCAAGCCAACGAUCUGUAGCUGGUCUGAGAGGACGACCAGCCACACUGGAACUGAGACACGGUCCAGACUCCUACGGGAGGCAGCAGUGGGGAAUAUUGCACAAUGGGCGCAAGCCUGAUGCAGCAACGCCGCGUGAGGGAUGAAGGCCUUCGGGUUGUAACCUCUUUAGUCAGGAAGAGCGAAGUAGACGGUACCU
rnacentral:rRNA from 1 species